AUAUCAAUAAGCGGAGGAAGAGAAACCAACAGGGAUUGCCUUAGUAACGGCGAGUGAAGCGGCAACAGCUCAAAUUUGAAAGCUGGCCCUUUCAGGGCCCGCGUUGUAAUUUGUAGAGGAUGAUUCGGCGAGGGCUCCCGCCUAAGUCCCUGGAACGGGGCGUCAUAGAGGGUGAGAAUCCCGUAUGCGGUGGGCUGCCUUAGCCAUGUGAAUCUCCUUCGACGAGUCGAGUUGUUUGGGAAUGCAGCUCUAAAUGGGAGGUAAAUUUCUUCUAAAGCUAAAUACCGGCCAGAGACCGAUAGCGCACAAGUA
rnacentral:rRNA from 1 species